GAGAUAGAGGUUGCGUGCUUUGAAGAGUAGCUUCCGGAUGCGGCGGCGCAUGUGAAGGAGGCGAAAGGCAGGCGCGCCGAAGGGUGCGGCAGACCGCGGGCCGUAUGCCUGGGCGUAUGGUCAAGAGCCAUGCGACUGUCAUCGAUGAGAUGGGGCGCUAUCCG
rnacentral:ncRNA from 1 species